rnacentral:rRNA from 1 species
UUGACGUUAGCGACAGAAGAAGCACCGGCUAACUCCGUGCCAGCAGCCGCGGUAAUACGGAGGGUGCGAGCGUUAAUCGGAAUUACUGGGCGUAAAGCGCAUGCAGGUGGUUUGUUAAGUCAGAUGUGAAAGCCCGGGGCUCAACCUCGGAAUAGCAUUUGAAACUGGCAGACUAGAGUACUGUAGAGGGGGGUAGAAUUUCAGGUGUAGCGGUGAAAUGCGUAGAGAUCUGAAGGAAUACCGGUGGCGAAGGCGGCCCCCUGGACAGAUACUGACACUCAGAUGCGAAAGCGUGRGGAGCAAACAGGAUUAGAUACCCUGGUAGUCCACGCCGUAAACGAUGUCUACUUGGAGGUUGUGGCCUUGAGCCGUGGCUUUCGGAGCUAACGCGUUAAGUAGACCGCCUGGGGAGUACGGUCGCAAGAUUAAAACUCAAAUGAAUUGACGGGGGCCCGCACAAGCGGUGGAGCAUGUGGUUUAAUUCGAUGCAACGCGAAGAACCUUACCUACUCUUGACAUCCAGAGAACUUUCCAGAGAUGGAUUGGUGCCUUCGGGAACUCUGAGACAGGUGCUGCAUGGCUGUCGUCAGCUCGUGUUGUGAAAUGUUGGGUUAAGUCCCGCAACGAGCGCAACCCUUAUCCUUGUUUGCCAGCGAGUAAUGUCGGGAACUCCAGGGAGACUGCCGGUGAUAAACCGGAGGAAGGUGGGGACGACGUCAAGUCAUCAUGGCCCUUACGAGUAGGGCUACACACGUGCUACAUGGCACAUACAGAGGGCGGCCAACUUGCGAAGUGAGCG